GAGGCUGCCGGGGUGCUGUGAAUAGUGGAAAUAAGGAGAGACAGUCACCACUCGUCUCGAUGAACAGUUUUUGUUUUUGGCGCUGUUGGCGUUGUUGAAGGGACGCAUUAUUAGUGGCCUGGGAAGCUGCUGCAGGCGGCAUCACGGUGCAAAGAGCACACCCACGAAGAAGAAGAAGAAGUACAGAUGAGGAGAAACACUCACGCCUCACAAGGGGGACCAGUUUUGCUUCCUGGCGCUCAGAUAUUGGCUUUAAUGGAGCACUUGUGGUGGGAGGCGUCCAGGCUACAGGGAACCUUCCUGCCAGGCUGGAAAUACUGGAAAUAAGGAGAAGCAGUCAGGGUUUUGCCUAACCUGACCUGGGCAAUGUGUAGGAGGAGUGGGCGUGGUCUGUGAAGCACAAGGGCAUAUAUUCUAUAGUGUUCAUGCCUCCGUGUAUUCAGAUUGAUCUAUUGAGCAUCGGAAAUGGUCUAGAAAAUGUGUUCAAACUGGAAUAACAACAUACAUAACUGAAGCGCAAUCAACCCCCUCACGGCUCGGCACACACUGAGUUAGGGGCCGAGGAAGUGAGGACGACACGGUUAGAAAAUUACCUAACACUGAAGAGGAAGGUGUGUGAAUAAGAGGAAGGGAGGAACGAGAGGAGGAGGACCUGAUGCAAAGCGUUACAGGUCAGAAGAAGAAGAAGAAGAACCACCCCCUCCGCACCAUGGGCAGCACCGCACCAACUCCUGCCCACACACAGCCAUGGGUGAGGGAACGUCCUGCCUGGCCCUGCCCCUCACUCCCCCAUCGAGCACCUGCUGCCCUGCCCCCCACGCCACCUGCUCCCACGACACCUCUGUGCCCUGGCCGUGCUGCCCACCCUGACCUGCCCACGGUGCUGGCGGCGGCAGGCGUGCACCCUCACGGCAGGAAGCUGUCACCCGCCUCACCUGUGCCUUCCUCGGGAGGACGGGGCAGCCUGUGAGGCCCACAUGCCAGUCUGCGGGCCGUGGGAGUCACGUGUCACCCUCCCGAGCUGCCGGUCUUGGUGGUGCCCAGGCUGGAACACUCCCCGCCCAGUGUUGUGGCACCUGAGGAGGCACUGUGCUGACUUCAGUCCCCUGGGCCCAGCCUCCUCCUCCACGCAGCAGCGUCAGAGCCGAGACACUGCUGAGACCACCACUGGCAUUGACCACUGUGGUCAGUCUCCACACUCCAGGGAAAGUUUGCUGCUGCAAGGUCAACACAGUCCAGCCUCCUGCUGAGAAGGGCCCCGUAUGCCUGUGGGGAGGACGCCGGGGCCAGCGGGGCGGGGGCGGCAGUGUGUGUGGCCAGGAGACGACCCUUGUGCCCCGCGCAUCACCCCGCAGCCGUGGAGGAGACCAGCGGCCCACGGCAGGCAGCCACCCGUCUGCCUGUGCCUUCCUCAGCCCCCACUUGGCAGGGUCUCAUGACUUGUUCCAGUCCUGGUUGGUCUUCAAAGGAAAAAAAGGAAGAAGAUGAGAGGAGACCAGACUCAGCCCUCCAGUGAGCCCAGGGGACCAGACUCAGCCCUCCAGUGAGCCCAGGGGACCAGACUCAGCCCUCCAGUGAGCCCAGGGGA